ensembl:snRNA U6 U6 spliceosomal RNA
UUGCUUGCUUUGGUAGCACAUAUACUAGAACUGGGAUGAUAUAGAGAAGAUUAGCAUGGGCUCUGCACAAGGAUGACAUGCAAAUUCAUGAUGCAUUCCACAUUUUU